GCCUUAGUAACGGCGAGUGAAGCGGCAACAGCUCAAAUUUGAAAUCUGGCUCUUUCAGAGUCCGAGUUGUAAUUUGCAGAGGGCGCUUUGGCUUUGGCAGCGGUCCAAGUUCCUUGGAACAGGACGUCACAGAGGGUGAGAAUCCCGUACGUGGUCGCUAGCUAUUGCCGUGUAAAGCCCCUUCGACGAGUCGAGUUGUUUGGGAAUGCAGCUCUAAAUGGGAGGUAAAUUUCUUCUAAAGCUAAAUAUUGGCCAGAGACCGAUAGCGCACAAGUAGAGUGAUCGAAAGAUGAAAAGCACUUUGGAAAGAGAGUCAAACAGCACGUGAAAUUGUUGAAAGGGAAGCGCUUGCAGCCAGACUUGCUUGCAGUUGCUCAUCCGGGCUUUUGCCCGGUGCACUCUUCUGCAGGCAGGCCAGCAUCAGUUUGGGCGGUGGGAUAAAGGUCUCUGACACGUUCCUUCCUUCGGGUUGGCCAUAUAGGGGAGACGUCAUACCACCAGCCUGGACUGAGGUCCGCGCAUCUGCUAGGAUGCUGGCGUAAUGGCUGUAAGCGGCCCGUCUUGAAACACGGACCAAGGAGUCUAACAUCUAUGCGAGUGUUUGGGUGUCAAGCCCGAGCGCGUAAUGAAAGUGAACGGAGGUGGGAACCCGCAAGGGCGCACCAUCGACCGAUCCUGAAGUUUACGGAAGGAUUUGAGUAAGAGCAUGGCUGUUGGGACCCGAAAGAUGGUGAACUAUGCUUGAAUACGGUGAAGCCAGAGGAAACUCUGGUGGAGGCUCGCAGCGGUUCUGACG
rnacentral:rRNA from 1 species